rnacentral:rRNA from 1 species
GAGGUCUUUGGGCCAACCUCCCAUCCGUGUCUAUUGUACCCUGUUGCUUCGGCGGGCCCGCCGCUUGUCGGCCGCCGGGGGGGCGCCUCUGCCCCCCGGGCCCGUGCCCGCCGGAGACCCCAACACGAACACUGUCUGAAAGCGUGCAGUCUGAGUUGAUUGAAUGCAAUCAGUUAAAACUUUCAACAAUGGAUCUCUUGGUUCCGGCAUCGAUGAAGAACGCAGCGAAAUGCGAUAACUAAUGUGAAUUGCAGAAUUCAGUGAAUCAUCGAGUCUUUGAACGCACAUUGCGCCCCCUGGUAUUCCGGGGGGCAUGCCUGUCCGAGCGUCAUUGCUGCCCUCAAGCCCGGCUUGUGUGUUGGGUCGCCGUCCCCCUCUCCGGGGGGACGGGCCCGAAAGGCAGCGGCGGCACCGCGUCCGAUCCUCGAGCGUAUGGGGCUUUGUCACAUGCUCUGUAGGAUUGGCCGGCGCCUGCCGACGUUUUCCAACCAUUCUUUCCAGGUUGACCUCGGAUCAGGUAGGGAUACCCGCUGAACUUAAGCAUAUCAAUAARGCGGAGGAA